GUGUGGAAUUUGACAGUAUUACUCUUUGAUCAGAAUAUCUGGACCACAAUUUUUUUAGUUGUUGGAUAACCGUGGUGUCCAGGCCAGCUUUCGCGCACCUCGACUAAAUCCACGGGAUACCUGCCACUUCCCACCAGUAACAGAUAUCAAGUAACUUUUUCCCCCAAGGCCAAGGCUAGGACAGAUGGGAAGAAUCACCUAGUGUUUUUUGUCUCUGCUUAGGUUUGAAUCUGGGAAACCUUGGGUGUAUAUCUGGACUACAAUCUAGACUGAACCUUCGGGUAGACUCUGCAGUAUCAACAACCAUAGCGCACGGAGUAUGGUAGAAUUCCUCGGUACGGUCAUUCAGGAAUCGUGUGGCUCGACGAAAGGUGUUUCCCCUAUUUCUGGAAUAGGGGGGCUUCCUUGUUAUUAAGGUGUCAAGACGCUCGAAGGUCACAAGUGGAAUCAACUGUUAGGUUUUCUUUGAGUAAGGAGGUUGCGAUUUUCCAAGUCGAACAACUAUCUAUUUUGGCUUGCUUGAUAUAUAUGAAGCAUGAUUUGCUGCAGAUGGAGCAUACAACUCUAAUGGAACCCAAAGGUACAUGUGAAUAAAAGUUGUUUAAUGGAACACACAAAAGAACAUAUUGUUUUGACGAUGCUCAAUGAUUAUUUGGGAAGUGAAAAGUUUCAAAGAUCUCUGCUCAAGUCGAGAAGGGCAAGCUAUUGAAGCUUUUGAGUGGUACUUAUUCCCAUGUUGGACGGUACAUCAAGACUGUGGAUGUGAUAACUUGUAAUGUUGGCUUUGGAUAAUUAGGCUCGUACGACUGUAAAAAUGUGUCACAAGGGUCUAAGGCUCGCUUCUUUGUAUAGUAACAAUCAAUGUCUCUCGUGUGUUUUGUUUUGUUGAUGUGACAAUGGCUUUCUUGUUUUGCCCCGUCGUCGAAUGGGUCUUCAGGAAACCUGAAUUCCUCUAUAAUGUAAUUACAUAUAGAAUCAACUAUGUCUUGAAUAUCAGAAUUUUCAACAACAAA